ensembl:snRNA U2 U2 spliceosomal RNA
AUUGCUUCUUGGCAUUUUGGCUAAGAUCAAAUGUAAUAUCUGUUCUUAUCAGAAUAGUCUGACAGGACACAUUUGUCCCUAUGUUAAUCAAUACAGUAACAGAGGGCAAUCUGUACUGACUCCUCACACCUUUU